GCUCUCAAAAGAUGGAAAUGAACAGAGACCCAGAAGGCAAACAAACCCCUAUAGGAAGGCGGAAUGGUAGGAAAAUGCCCCCUAAACCACUGAGACACGUUGUUUCGCAAGAAAAACCCCUUGAACCAACGAGGGGCAGAUACGUGGCAGCCACCCCGCUGCGCGUUCAAACCAAACAACCAUUUAGGAUAGGUGCAACCCUUCAACAUAUGUGCUCGAACCGAGCUCAAAGUGCACAAGACCACGAUGCAUGGCAAACCAGUGGGGAGACUUGAGAAGGUCGUACAAUGAAUGAUAGUUAGCAGGCACUGGCUGCUUUGCCCAUCCGAGCUCACCCAUCAGACGAUACACGUAUCCAGCUCACAUGACCUCGGUCAGCAUUGACCCAACUCAUGCAAACUGAGGGACAAUUGUAAGGGGAUAAAAUACAUGACCACAAAUCGUAAUGAGGCAGCACACCCGAGCAAGCACGUGGGGGUUUCUCUACGCCUGAGCUCAGUCGGGACGCUACAACUUAGCUGUCUGGACGAGGCAACCAUCACUGCUGAGUUGCCGCUAGGGAUGGCAACGAGGCGGGUUUAUUCCCAACCCAAUCCCCACCCGAUUAAGAAAAUCCUCCCCUACCCUCGUCCCCACCCUGACGGUUGGGGACUCAAACCCGCAUCCCCGCCCGUUUAAUAUUUUUUUAAUUAUAUAUAUUUUUAUAAACAGUAUAAAAAUAUAUAUCUCAUUAUUGAUAUAUAAUAGAUAAAGAGAGAAAGAGAGAGACGAGAGAGAGAGUAAGGCUGUUAUGGUAUAAUUACAAAAUAGAAUAAUUUUGUCUAUUUACAUAUAAUCGGGGCGGUUCGGGAUUUAGUGGACUAAAGUCGAACUCGACCCGGGUUACAAUUUCUCCCCCAACCCACCUCAAACCCGCCCUAUUAGGAGUGGGGCAGGGACCCAAUUUUCCUAGAAAAAUUGACAUCCCUAGUUGUCGCUCUAUAGCAAGCUCGGUAGGGUCACCACGCCGAAUCUUGGUCAAGGGACAACGGUCGAUGGCAAUCCCGAAUCAUAUCAGUAGACAGAAGGUAACUUGCUUGGCCAGGUUUCUUCUAACAGCCCACACGCCUAAGUGGAGACAUCUGCAGUAUGAUGGUCAGCUACCAACCAGGCCCUAAGGACAUGCUAGGUCAUCCGCCUACUUACUAACAUAACAGCCACCGCGUCUAGGCACGCGCCGAACUAAGUUAUAUCGAGUCAACCCUAUUUCCUCAAAGGUAUGCAAACUGAGCUACUGUAAGCUUCUACUAUCUCUCUCUCUCUUCAUACGCUUUGAUUCUUCGAUUAUCUAACUUGACCGUUAGAGAGCCGUUUUUCGAAAACAGCUCUAGAUGGCGAACUUACUGUUUCUGUGUCACAAAUUGGCCACAACAACCAGCAAUCGUCUGUAGCUACCUUCCGCCACUACUGGCCCACCGCAGAUAUCUAUUCUCGAUUUUCUUGCUUACAUCUCACGAACACAACACCCCCCAGAACUGAUUCGAUAAUUAAUGUGACAAAAUUAUUUGUUUGGGGGCUAGUAUGAGAAAAUUUUAUUACUUGGGAAAACCCCUUUUUCAAAAACCGCGCAUACCAUUCCCAUGUGUACCCGUCGAAAUCUGGUGACUACACGUGGCGGCCCUAUCUCGACCCUUCUAUAAAUCCGCAACCACGAUCGCACUACUCUCACAUCUGCUUCGUGGGUUCUGUCUCUCUCUCUCUCUCUCUCUCUUCUCAUCCGUGCUUGGAAUCCCAACAACAGCUUUUGUCGUAAAUCAGUGAAAAUGUCGGGUUCAACAACUGACUGCGUAGGCAUCAUCUUGGCCAUCAUCUUGCCUCCCCUUGGUGUUUUCCUCAAGUUCGGUUGCCAGGUCUCCUCUCUCUCUCU
rnacentral:lncRNA from 1 species